GGAUGUGGCUCAAGCGGUAGCGCGCCUGCCUGGCAUGCGCAGGGCGCUGGGUUCGAUCCUCAGCACCA
rnacentral:tRNA from 1 species